CCUCAAACAGCGCCUGGGGCGGAGGCUUCCCCCGCGCGGCUGCCGAGUCAGGGAUCUCGGGUCUCCAGUACAUGCAGGCACAGUGCUAUAUCCAUUAUCUCAUUCGAUCCUCACAAAUCCUCAUUAGUCACCAAAUGAAAAAUAAUUCUUGCUCAGAGAGGGUAAGUAACUUGUAUACGUUCAUACCACUUGUAUGUGAUGAAACCUGGGGUUGCUUUUUCUAUCGCCCCACACUGCGUUUUGAGAAAGAUGACAGCUAAAUUAUAAAUGCGGACAUCAGGCACACGGAAAAGGAAAAAAAAUCCAGAGCCAAAACAUUUAAAUAAAUGUGACAAGAUGCAUCUAAAAUUAAACAGCGCAUUGAAGGGUGUGAUUUGUUCAGCUACAGAGAAACUAUUCCCAGACAGUCUAGAUUAUGUCUCUAAUCAAUAUGCUCGGUGAGGGAAAGCUAUUCCAUUUUUUGAAACAGAUCCCACACAUUUUAGCUGAAAAUAGUUAGUCAUUUCAUAACCAAAAGGGGAGAGUAAUCCUUUAACGUCCAUAUGGCAUACGUUUUCUGAGCUUAUUUUUGAAUUUCCUUCAGUUCCUUAAACCCCAGCCUGACGGGAUCACUUGGCAAUGAGAAGAAACACUGCCAUGUGUGUCCUAUCAGGACACGCAUGGAGCCCCUCUUCUCCAAGUCCUUAUCUGACAGAGGUUGUUUUGCCAUCUGGGCUUAUUGCUUGAAGUUAUAAACAAGUCACAGGAACAAUGACUGGAACUUUUAUAUUAAGCAAUCGUUGUUAAAAUGUUUUAGAUGUGAUCGUGGUAUUGUAGUUACGUUAUUAAAGACUUCUCUGAUAGAGUUGCAUGAUGAAAAAUUAUAUGAUGCUUGAGAUUUGCUACCAAAUAAUAUGAGGAGGGGCAGAUUUAAUUUAUGGAUGGGGCAGAUAGGCCUUGGGUCAGAGGUUUGGGGGCCUGCGUAAUGGCUAGUUGGGUUUCUUUUGAACAUUGCUUUGUCUACUUUUGCAUAUUAAAAAAGUAAAAGUUUUUAAAAGAAGAAAUAAAAAAUACAAGAUUGAAUCCA